rnacentral:rRNA from 1 species
GAAGAGAGAGUUCAAAAGGGCGUGAAACCGCUUAGAAUAAAACGGACGGAGCCGUCAGGAGCUUUCGAGACUCAGUCGACUAGUAAGCGAAAGUACGAGCGUCGCGAAGAGCAUAAAGAGUCUUCGUCGUUCGACUCUAGUACGCGGAUAGUCGGCGCAUUUCUCGAGAGUAAGCAUCGCAACCGAUACGAAAGGCUAGCGAGGCGAUCGAAUUGAGGUCUAAUAGUCUUUACCGACUCGUUAGUUGCCAGUUCGAUCGCGCUUUAGUCGCUAGAUCGCAGUAUGUAUCGAGCGCUUACCAAUUAAAUAAAAAAUACGUCGACCUUAAAGGUUCGUCGAAUACGGUGGAUAGUCGGUUAGUAUCAUAAUCGAAGUUGGUCACCUGCUCGCAGGUACUAGCUAACUCGAUCGACUCAGAAACCGUCGACGAUUAUCGACGUAUAGGCGUUAGCGAUGUCAGCGUCGGUCACCCGUCCGACCCGUCUUGAAACACGGACCAAGGAGUCUAACAUACGCGCGAGCCAAUAGGCGGAAAACCUAAAGGCGUAAUAAAAGUAAAGACUAUUCUUACGAAUGGUUAAGGUACGAUCCCGUUACUUUCCUUAAAACAGUAAGUGGGCGGGCGCAGUACCGUCUCGUCCCUAAGGCACGUCCUAAGGGCGAAGAUAGAGCGCGUACGUUGGGACCCGAAAGAUGGUGAACUAUGCCUGAGCAGAGCGAAGCCAGAGGAAACUCUGGUGGAGGUUCGUAG